CCCUUAGAUGUCCGGGGCUGCACGCGCGCUACACUGAGGGAAUCAGCGUGCUAGAAACCCUUGUUUGACAUGGCUAGGUAACCCGUUGAAAAUCUUUCGUGAUUGGGAUCGGGACUUGCAAAUGUGUCCCUUGAACGAGGAAUUCCCAGUAAGUGCGGGUCAUAAGCUCGCGCUGAUUACGUCCCUGCCCUUUGUACACACCGCCCGUCGCUGCCCGGAACUGAGCCGUUUCGAGAAGACUGGGGACUGCGAACUUUGGGCUGGAAAACAGCUUUUUGUUUGUGGAAACCACUUUAAUCGCAGCGGCUUGAACCGGGCAAAAGUCGUAACA
rnacentral:rRNA from 1 species